CCUACGGGCGGCAGCAGUGAGGAAUAUUGGUCAAUGGACGAGAGUCUGAACCAGCCAAGUAGCGUGAAGGAUGACUGCCCUAUGGGUUGUAAACUUCUUUUAUAUGGGAAUAAAAUGUUCCACGUGUGGGAUUUUGUAUGUACCAUAUGAAUAAGGAUCGGCUAACUCCGUGCCAGCAGCCGCGGUAAUACGGAGGAUCCGAGCGUUAUCCGGAUUUAUUGGGUUUAAAGGGAGAGUAGGUGGGUUGUUAAGUCAGUUGUGAAAGUUUGCGGCUCAACCGUAAAAUUGCAGUUGAUACUGGCAGUCUUGAGUACAGUAGAGGUGGGCGGAAUUCGUGGUGUAGCGGUGAAAUGCUUAGAUAUCACGAAGAACUCCGAUUGCGAAGGCAGCUCACUGGACUGCAACUGACACUGAGGCUCGAAAGUGUGGGUAGCAAACAGGAUUAGAUACCCGAGUAGUC
rnacentral:rRNA from 1 species